rnacentral:rRNA from 1 species
UACGUAGGGUGCAAGCAUUAAUCGGAUUUAUUGGGCGUAAAGGACGCGUAGGCGGAUUGUUAAGUCAGAUGUGAAAGCCCGGAGCUCAACUCCGGAACAGCAUUUGAAACUAGCAAUCUAGAGGGUAGGCGGAGAAAACGGAAUUCCACAUGUAGCGGUGAAAUGCGUAGAUAUGUGGAAGAACACCAGUGGCGAAGGCGGUUUUCUAGCUUAUACCUGACGCUGAGGCGUGAAAGCAAGGGGAGCAAACAGG